rnacentral:rRNA from 1 species
AUUGAACGCUGGCGGCAGGCCUAACACAUGCAAGUCGAGCGAGCGGCGGACGGGUGAGUAAUGUAUGGGGACUGCCCGAUAGCGGGGGAUAACUACUGGAAACGGUGGCUAAUACCGCAUACUAUCGGAUGACCCAUAUGGGAUUAGCUAGUAGGUGGGGUAAAGGCUCACCUAGGCGACGCUCUCUCGCUGGUCUGAGAGGAUGAUCAGCCAAACUGGGCAGUAGACAAGGGCCAGGCUCCUCGGGAGGGCGCAGUUGGGAAUAUGGCACCAUGGGGGGAAGCCUGAUGCAACACUACCGGGUGUGUGAAGAAGGCCCUAGGGUUGUAAAGCAAUUUUGUUAGGGAGAUGUUACCUAAAGAAUAAGCACCGGCUAACUCCGUGCCAGCAGCCGCGGUAAUAC